UAACCUGCCCAAGAGAUCGGGAUAACACCUGGAAACAGAUGCUAAUACCGGAUAACAACAGAUGAUGCCUAUCAACUGUUUAAAAGAUGGUUCUGCUAUCACUCUUGGAUGGACCUGCGGUGCAUUAGCUAGUUGGUGGGGUAACGGCCUACCAAGGCGAUGAUGCAUAGCCGAGUUGAGAGACUGAUCGGCCACAUUGGGACUGAGACACGGCCCAAACUCCUACGGGAGGCAGCAGCU
rnacentral:rRNA from 1 species